GACAGAGGGUGCAAACGUUGCUCGGAAUCAUUGGGCGUAAAGCGCGCGUAGGCGGUUACUUAAGUUGGAUGUGAAAGCCCUCGGCUUAACUGAGGAAGUGCAUCCAAAACUGAGUAGCUAGAGUACGAAAGAGGGUCGCGGAAUUCCCGGUGUAGAGGUGAAAUUCGUAGAUAUCGGGAGGAACACCGGUGGCGAAGGCGGCGACCUGGGUCGAGACUGACGCUGAGGCGCGAAAGCGUGGGGAGCAAACAGG
rnacentral:rRNA from 1 species